rnacentral:lncRNA from 1 species
CCGCCAUGAUUGUGAGGCUUCCCCAGCCAUGUGGAAACAUAUUCGCAGAGCACCCACUAGGUGCCAGUAAAUGUAUGAGAAGUCCUGUGGAAUAAGACUGAAGUUGUCCUUGCCUUCAAGCAACUUGCAAUUGCCUAAGAACACAGUUUAAAACCACAAAACUAAGCCUUGGAAAUCACAUGCUGUCAUUUCUGCGAUCGGUCAUAACCAGUCCUGAUUCCAUGUUAGAGGAGACUACAUAAGGACACAGGUACCAGAAGAUGAAAAAUUUGGAGUCUAGUGAAAAGAAGUGACUUGCUCAAAAUCACACAGCACAUGAAGAACAGAGCCUCUAUGAUGAAUUUCUUGACAGAUCAAGAACUACUUUGGACUUUAUGUCUUAUUACUCAAGGAAGACAUUUCCUAAGCUACAGAGGCCAUAGAUAGUGAUUCCUCUGAUGGAUCUUGGCAAAGUAAGUGGAAAACUUUCUGGAAAGAAUUCACAACUCUAGAUGUCAUUAAGAACAUUUGGGAUUCCUGGGAGGGGAUCAAAAUAUCAUUAACGGGAAUUUGGAAGAAGUUGACUCCAACCCUCAUGGAUGAAAUCGAGGGAUUCAAGACUUCAGUGGAGGAAGUAAC